ensembl:lncRNA
UAAAUCUCUAGGAGGAGUUCGUUAAAGUACAAGGCAUGCAAAUGACAAAAAUUAUGCAAAAUUUGCUCAUAAAAUUAAAAAUAACCGACUUCCUGUUGGGUUUCGGAUAUUGCUCCAAGAGUCUUUUUUGUAGGUACUGAUGCUUUACAUACGUGUGCCAAUUUUCGUGCAUGUACGUGAAACACAGCGGGAGGGCUGUUGAUUUUUUUACGAUAGGUGGCGCUGUCGAGCCAUUUUGCCACACCCUCUUCUGAAACCUAUAUCAGACGUAAAUUUUCACCAGGUCUGACGCGUGUGCAAAGUUUCAGGACUUUUCGAGCAUGUUUAGGCCCUCAAAAAUGCGAUUCAUUUUGGAGAAGAAGAAGAAGAAGAAGAAGAAAAAGAAGAAGAAGAAGAAUAAACAAAGCAGAUACAAUAGGGUCCUCACACCAUCGGUGCUCGGGCCCUAAUAAUAAUAAUAAUAAACAAAGCAG